UACGGAAGGUGCAAGCGUUAAUCGGAUUUACUAGGCGUAAAGCGUGCGUAGGCGGUUUUGUAAGUCGGAUGCGAAAGCCCUGGGCUUAACCUGGGAAUUGCAUUCGAUACUGCUUAACUAGAGUAUGGUAGAGGGAAGUGGAAUUUCCGGUGUAGCGGUGAAAUGCGUAGAUAUCGGAAGGAACACCAGUGGCGAAGGCGACUUCCUGGGCCAAUACUGACGCUGAGGUGCGAAAGCGUGGGGAGCAAACAGG
rnacentral:misc_RNA from 1 species